CCGCCGCCGCCGCUCCCCCGUCGCAGGCCUCGGGCGCCUGAGGCGGGGCGCGGCCUGGUGGCGGGGCUCGGAGCGCCAGCAGCGGGCUCGGGGCUGGGUGUAGGAGUCCCACAAUGGGCGGGAAGGGAGGGAAAGAAAAAAGGAAAAAAAAAAUGAGGGCGGAAAUGGAAAACACGAAAGAAAGAGGCGGGGGGGACCCCAGUGAGCAUCUAAGUGGUACCAGUUUGCUUGGGAGUGAGGAGGCUGGUGGGCUUCUCUUUUGACUCCUAGGUGCUAUACAAAAAGGGUUUUGAGGUAGUUGCCAUAAAGGAAACAGAUUUGUCCAGACUCCCAGCCUCAUCCCCCACUGCCAGCUCUGUGAACAUGGCCCCCGCAAGUACUCAUCACCAACCUGGAAGCAGUCCUUCAACAACCAGUGACCCAGAUGUUCGCACGCUAGGAAAGAAACCCCUGCACUGCCUGUAAUGACAUCUUGGAUUGCUGCAGAGACAAAAGUACGAAUUUAAUCAAUGACACUGGUGCUGCAGUCUGUCUUUAUGCUACAAAGCACAGCCUCCCAGCCCCGGCUAGCUGGGUAGUGGUGAAUACAUGCUAGCCAAGAAUACUCCAGGAGGUGAUUUUAAAACCGAAAAUUUAGGGCUACUAAAAACCCACCCUGUGUAUUCUGAACAACCUCGCCAGUUACUUUUUAUUCAAGUCCUCAAGGAAGCAUUGGAUCUAUUUCCCUAACUACUGUUUUGCUUCUUUUUUUUUCCCUUAAAUGGCCAUGGUCUUAUGUUACGUGUCAGCUUCAGAAGACAAUCAUGCCUGCAAUAUUUUUGUCCUGUCAGCUGGUAGUGGAUUUCAAAACAGGAUGCCUAUUUUUCCCCCCAUUAUUUGCAACAGUGAGACACAGAAGCCUGAGCUUUUGUUUUCAGUUGGUUAUACAGGUUCAACCUGGUGAUUCAUUCUUCCUGCAGCUAUGUUUCCAGGAAAAGACAAUGUCGUGGCCCUUCUCCAAGUUAUCCACAGACUGCUUGAGAGUCAGAUCAGAACGCACCCCUUCUCUGCAGCCGAGACACUUUCUAAGAAGGGAUAAAUGGAUGAAAACACGUCGCAAAGCUGGUGUUACCUCCCCACAGACGAGGAGACACAGCCUUGGAAAAGCAUACGCAGCACUAUAUCAAGGUGAAGAUAAGAGCACAAUUGCAAGGAUUUAAACUUAUUGGCCCUGUGAAGCACAACCAAGCUUUUGCAAAGAGCUGGUCUCCGUUUCUGGGACUGAUGCUGAGCGCGAAGCUGGAUGGCUGAAGGAAAAUCCUGCAGUUUCCUCGCAGUCUCUUCAGGAGACUCUCAGGGCUCGCUGCAGUUUGUGUGGGCAAAAGCAAGCCUGCAGAUUUUGGAGUUUCUCAAGGGUCGUUAUGCAGACAGGAGCUGGUAGCGGUGGCUUCAGGUGUCUCCUUUCAAGGACAAAGCUCCUCACGGGUGAAGGGAGGCAUGGCUGUGCGUGGUGAAUCAAGGGGCUAGAGAGCUACGCGGCUGUGACCUCAAGCGCUGAGCUUUCCGAGAAGUUAAAUAAAAACGCACCACACCAA